UACGGAGGAUGCAAGCGUUAUCCGGAAUGAUUGGGCGUAAAGCGUCCGCAGGUGGCUGUGUAAGUCUGCUGUUAAAGAGCAAAGCUUAACUUUGUAAAAGCAGUGGAAACUACACAGCUAGAGUGCGUUCGGGGCAGAGGGAAUUCCUGGUGUAGCGGUGAAAUGCGUAGCGAUCAGGAAGAACACCGGUGGCGAAGGCGCUCUGCUAGGCCGCAACUGACACUGAGGGACGAAAGCUAGGGGAGCGAAUGGG
rnacentral:rRNA from 1 species